rnacentral:tRNA from 1 species
AAUUCAAGUCCCUCUAUCCCCM